rnacentral:rRNA from 1 species
CAGUAGCCACGGUAACACGUAGGGUGCGAGCGUUAAUCGGAAUUACUGGGCGUAAAGCGUGCGCAGGCGGUUUUGUAAGACAGGCGUGAAAUCCCCGGGCUCAACCUGGGAAUGGCGCUUGUGACUGCAAAGCUAGAGUGCGGCAGAGGGGGAUGGAAUUCCGCGUGUAGCAGUGAAAUGCGUAGAUAUGCGGAGGAACACCGAUGGCGAAGGCAAUCCCCUGGGCCUGCACUGACGCUCAUGCACGAAAGCGUGGGGAGCAAACAGGAUUAGAUACCCCUGUAGUCCCUGUCUCUUAUAC